rnacentral:rRNA from 1 species
GAUGAACGCUAGCUACAGGCUUAACACAUGCAAGUCGAGGGGCAUCAGGAAGAAAGCUUGCUUUCUUUGCUGGCGACCGGCGCACGGGUGAGUAACACGUAUCCAACCUGCCCUUUACUCGGGGAUAGCCUUUCGAAAGAAAGAUUAAUACCCGAUAGCAUAAUGAUUCCGCAUGGUUUCAUUAUUAAAGGAUUCCGGUAAAGGAUGGGGAUGCGUUCCAUUAGGUUGUUGGUGAGGUAACGGCUCACCAAGCCUUCGAUGGAUAGGGGUUCUGAGAGGAAGGUCCCCCACAUUGGAACUGAGACACGGUCCAAACUCCUACGGGAGGCAGCAGUGAGGAAUAUUGGUCAAUGGGCGAAAGCCUGAACCAGCCAAGUAGCGUGCAGGAUGACGGCCCUAUGGGUUGUAAACUGCUUUUAGGCGGGGGUAAAGUGCCGGACGUGUUCCGGUAUUGCAAGUACCGCCAGAAAAAGGACCGGCUAAUUCCGUGCCAGCAGCCGCGGUAAUACGGAAGGUCCGGGCGUUAUCCGGAUUUAUUGGGUUUAAAGGGAGCGUAGGCGGGCUGUUAAGUCAGCUGUGAAAUCCGGCGGCUCAACCGUCGGCCUGCAGUUGAUACUGGUGGUCUUGAGUGCGCGCAGGGGUGUUGGAAUUCAUGGUGUAGCGGUGAAAUGCUCAGAUAUCAUGAAGAACUCCGAUCGCGAAGGCAGAUGCCCGGAGCGCAACUGACGCUGAGGCUCNGAAGUGCGGGUAUCAAACAGG